rnacentral:rRNA from 1 species
GAUGAACGCUGGCGGCGUGCCUAAUACAUGCAAGUCGAGCGAACAGACGAGGAGCUUGCUCCUCUGACGUUAGCGGCGGACGGGUGAGUAACACGUGGAUAACCUACCUAUAAGACUGGGAUAACUUCGGGAAACCGGAGCUAAUACCGGAUAAUAUAUUGAACCGCAUGGUUCAAUAGUGAAAGACGGUUUUGCUGUCACUUAUAGAUGGAUCCGCGCCGCAUUAGCUAGUUUGUAAGGUAACGGCUUACCAAGGCAACGAUGCGUAGCCGACCUGAGAGGGGGAUCGGCCACCCUGGAACUGAGACACGGUCCAGACUCCUACGGGAGGCAGCAGUAGGGAAUCUUCCGCAAUGGGCGAAAGCCUGACGGAGCAACGCCGCGUGAGUGAUGAAGGUCUUCGGAUCGUAAAACUCUGUUAUUAGGGAAGAACAAAUGUGUAAGUAACUAUGCACGUCUUGACGGUACCGAAGCAGAAAGCCACGGCUAACUACGU